rnacentral:rRNA from 1 species
GGAUUUUCCGCAAUGGGCGAAAGCCUGACGGAGCAAUACCGCGUGAGGGAGGAAGGCUCUUGGGUUGUAAACCUCUUUUCUCAGGGAAGAAAACAAUGACGGUACCUGAGGAAUAAGCAUCGGCUAACUCCGUGCCAGCAGCCGCGGUAAUACGGAGGAUGCAAGCGUUAUCCGGAAUGAUUGGGCGUAAAGCGUCCGCAGGUGGCUGUGUAAGUCUGCUGUCAAAGAGCAAAGCUCAACUUUGUAAAGGCAGUGGAAACUACACGGCUAGAGUGCGUUCGGGGCAGAGGGAAUUCCUGGUGUAGCGGUGAAAUGCGUAGAGAUCAGGAAGAACACCGGUGGCGAAGGCGCUCUGCUAGGCCGCAACUGACACUGAGGGACGAAAGCUAGGGGAGCGAAUGGGAUUAGAUACCCCAGUAGUCCUAGCCGUAAACGAUGGAUACUAGGCGUGGCUUGUAUCGACCCGAGCCGUGCCGUAGCUAACGCGUUAAGUAUCCCGCCUGGGGAGUACGCACGCAAGUGUGAAACUCAAAGGAAUUGACGGGGGCCCGCACAAGCGGUGGAGUAUGUGGUUUAAUUCGAUGCAACGCGAAGAACCUUACCAAGGCUUGACAUGUCGCGAAUCUUCUUGAAAGGGAAGAGUGCCUUCGGGAGCGCGAACACAGGUGGUGCAUGGCUGUCGUCAGCUCGUGUCGUGAGAUGUUGGGUUAAGUCCCGCAACGAGCGCAACCCUCGUUUUUAGUUGCCAGCACUUAGGGUGGGCACUCUAGAGAGACUGCCGGUGACAAACCGGAGGAAGGUGGGGAUGACGUCAAGUCAGCAUGCCCCUUACGCCUUGGGCUACACACGUACUACAAUGCUCCGGACAGAGGGCAGCAAGCUAGCGAUAGCAAGCUAAUCCCAUAAACCGGAGCUCAGUUCAGAUCGCAGGCUGCAACUCGCCUGCGUGAAGGAGGAAUCGCUAGUAAUUGCAGGUCAGCAUACUGCAGUGAAUUCGUUCCCGGGCCUUGUACACACCGCCCGUCACACCAUGGAAGCUGGUAGUGCCCGAAGUCAUUACUCCAACCUUUCGGGGGGGAGGAUGCCUAAGGCAGGACUGGUGACUGGGGGUGAAGUCGUAACAAG